UUCUUAGGGCCCGAGCGUAGCUGCUAAGCAGCUGCGAGAGCCCUCUUGUUCCUGUAGUUUCCUUCUUUUGUUAUUAUUAUUUUUCCUCCCCUUUGAACUGGAAAAUGGCCCACUUCCCACUGGCGAAAACUCAUGAAAUUUGGCAGGACGACCGGGCCUGGUGAAAAAUUUGAUAUUCCGAAGUCGCCCAAACAAGAAAAUGCAAAAUGGCUCCAUAGCGCCCCCUAAGGUGAAAAUUCACACUAUUGACUGUCACGCCUGUACGCUUUGUCAAAAUGACACAAAAAUUGACACACACAUGUAACUCAAUAAGAUCUACAAAAAAGUCAGUGCGGGCGUAUCUGUCAAAUGUACGGUUAAAGGGUUAUUUCGCAUUUUUUGCCGAUCCGCACACAUUGGAAUUUCGCUAACUCCUCCGAAGGCUUUCGUUCCACCGGCACCACAUUUGCUCAGGCCAAUCUACACCCCAUGGCCAUUAAAAGUUAUUCAAAUCAUGACGCUGCACCCCACGGUUUAGGUUCUAGGGGGCGCCAAAGAUAACCCUAAAAUCCACAUAUUUAAAAGUCUUAUAACUUUUUAUUUUUGCCCUCACUGGCCUCCAAGUUUUCUAGGAUGAUGCAAUGUCCAGCCAUCAACACAUUUGUGAAGGAAUUUUUACUCCCAAAAGAGCGCCCCCCCAUGGCAGGAGAAAAAAGUCCAUUUUUUCUUGUCCCCUAAGGUGAAAAUACACAUUGUUGAGUGUAACACCUGUACGCUUUGGCAAAAUGACACAAAAAUUGACACACACAUGUAUCUCAAUAAGAUCUACGAAAAAGUCAUAGCGCGCGUAUCUGUCAAAUGUACGGUUAAAGGGUUAUUCCGCAUUUUUUGCCGAUCAGCACACAUUGGAAUUUCGCUAACUCCUCCGAAGGCUUUCAUUCCACCGGUACCACAUUUGCUCAGGCCAAUCUACACCCCAUGGCCAUUAAAAGUUAUUCAAAUCAUGACGCUGCAUCCCACGGUUUAGGUUCUAGGGGGCGCCAAAGAUAACCCUAAAAUCCACAUAUUUAAAAGUCUUAUAACUUUUUAUUUUUGUCCUCACUGGCCUCCAAGUUUUCUAGGAUGAUGCAAUGUCCAGCCAUCAACACAUUUGUGAAGGAAUUUUUACUCCCCAAAAGAGCGCCCCCCCAUGGCAGGAAAAAAAAGCCAAUUUUUUCUUGUCCCCUAAGGUGGAAAUUCACACUAUUGACUGUCACGCCUGUACGCUUUAUCAUAUUGACACAAAAAUUGACACACAUAUGUAUCUCAAUAAGAUCUACAAAAGAGUCGAUUUGCGCGUAUCUGUCAAAUGUACGGUUAAAGGGCUAUUUUGCAUUUUUUGCCGAUUCGCACACAUUGGAAUGUGGCUAACUCCUCCUAAGGCUUUCGUCCCACUGACACCAAAUUUGCUCAGGCCAAUCUACACCCCAUGGCCAUUCAAAGUUGUAAAAAUCAUGACGCUGUACCCCACGGUUUACGUUCUAGGGGGCGCCAAAGAUAACCCAAAAAUCCACAUUCUUCAAAGAAUCCACAUCCCCCCCCCCCCCCCCCAUAUGGCAGGAGAAAAAGUUAAGUUUUUCCUGCCCAUCGCUCAAUGGCUCAAUCGCAUCGCUCUCCAGGCAACACCGUAAGGAGGAGCAACCUGCCAUUUCGAUAUAUCAUAGCUGUGUUUGUGCCCUCACUCAUGGUCCAGACUUUUUUCAAAUAGGACAUGAAGUUUGUCUGCAGCGAGUGUUUUGGUAGAAACUGCGCCUCCCAUUCAUUAUAAUAGGAAAUGACCACAGACAAGUGCGCACACCAUCUUUGGAUCUUGAGUGUGACGCGAUCGGGAGGGGGAGGCGGUCGCACUGGGGGCGGCGCGACACGGCUCGGGCCCGACAGUGCCCCAACGGGGUCCUAGUGUUAUUAGGGCCCGAGCGUAGCUGCUAAGCAGCUGCGAGAGCCCUAUUAUUCCCCAAGUGGUUUUUCUUUGUUUCUUUUUUCUUUUUCCUCCCCUUUGAACUGGAAAAUGGCCCACUUCCCACUGGCGAAAACUCAUGAAAUUUGGCAGGACGACCGGGCCUGGUGAAAAAUUUGAUAUUCCGAAGUCGCCCAAACAAGAAAAUGCAAAAUGGCUCCAUAGCGCCCCCUAAGGUGAAAAUUCACACUAUUGACUGUCACGCCUGUACGCUUUGUCAAAAUGACACAAAAAUUGACACACACAUGUAUCUCAAUAAGAUCUACAAAAAAGUCAGUGCGGGCGUAUCUGUCAAAUGUACGGUUAAAGGGUUAUUUCGCAUUUUUUGCCGAUCCGCACACAUUGGAAUUUCGCUAACUCCUCCGAAGGCUUUCGUUCCACCGGCACCACAUUUGCUCAGGCCAAUCUACACCCCAUGGCCAUUAAAAGUUAUUCAAAUCAUGACGCUGCACCCCACGGUUUAGGUUCUAGGGGGCGCCAAAGAUAACCCUAAAAUCCACAUAUUUAAAAGUCUUAUAACUUUUUAUUUUUGCCCUCACUGGCCUCCAAGUUUUCUAGGAUGAUGCAAUGUCCAGCCAUCAACACAUUUGUGAAGGAAUUUUUACUCCCCAAAAGAGCGCCCCCCCAUGGCAGGAGAAAAAAGUCCAUUUUUUCUUGUCCCCUAAGGUGAAAAUACACAUUGUUGAGUGUAACACCUGUACGCUUUGGCAAAAUGACACAAAAAUUGACACACACAUGUAUCUCAAUAAGAUCUACGAAAAAGUCAUAGCGCGCGUAUCUGUCUAAUGUACGGUUAAAGGGUUAUUCCGCAUUUUUUGCCGAUCAGCACACAUUGGAAUUUCGCUAACUCCUCCGAAGGCUUUCAUUCCACCGGUACCACAUUUGCUCAGGCCAAUCUACACCCCAUGGCCAUUAAAAGUUAUUCAAAUCAUGACGCUGCAUCCCACGGUUUAGGUUCUAGGGGGCGCCAAAGAUAACCCUAAAAUCCACAUAUUUAAAAGUCUUAUAACUUUUUAUUUUUGUCCUCACUGGCCUCCAAGUUUUCUAGGAUGAUGCAAUGUCCAGCCAUCAACACAUUUGUGAAGGAAUUUUUACUCCCCAAAAGAGCGCCCCCCCAUGGCAGGAAAAAAAAGCCAAUUUUUUCUUGUCCCCUAAGGUGGAAAUUCACACUAUUGACUGUCACGCCUGUACGCUUUAUCAUAUUGACACAAAAAUUGACACACAUAUGUAUCUCAAUAAGAUCUACAAAAGAGUCGAUUUGCGCGUAUCUGUCAAAUGUACGGUUAAAGGGCUAUUUUGCAUUUUUUGCCGAUUCGCACACAUUGGAAUGUGGCUAACUCCUCCUAAGGCUUUCGUCCCACUGACACCAAAUUUGCUCAGGCCAAUCUACACCCCAUGGCCAUUCAAAGUUGUAAAAAUCAUGACGCUGUACCCCACGGUUUACGUUCUAGGGGGCGCCAAAGAUAACCCAAAAAUCCACAUUCUUCAAAGAAUCCACAUCCCCCCCCCCCCCCCCAUAUGGCAGGAGAAAAAGUUAAGUUUUUCCUGCCCAUCGCUCAAUGGCUCAAUCGCAUCGCUCUCCAGGCAACACCGUAAGGAGGAGCAACCUGCCAUUUCGAUAUAUCAUAGCUGUGUUUGUGCCCUCACUCAUGGUCCAGACUUUUUUCAAAUAGGACAUGAAGUUUGUCUGCAGCGAGUGUUUUGGUAGAAACUGCGCCUCCCAUUCAUUAUAAUAGGAAAUGACCACAGACAAGUGCGCACACCAUCUUUGGAUCUUGAGUGUGACGCGAUCGGGAGGGGGAGGCGGUCGCACUGGGGGCGGCGCGACACGGCUCGGGCCCGACAGUGCCCCAACGGGGUCCUAGUGUUAUUAGGGCCCGAGCGUAGCUGCUAAGCAGCUGCGAGAGCCCUAUUAUUCCCCAAGUGGUUUUUCUUUGUUUCUUUUUUCUUUUUCCUCCCCUUUGAACUGGAAAAUGGCCCACUUCCCACUGGCGAAAACUCAGGAAAUUUGGCAGGACGACCGGGCCUGGUGAAAAAUUUGAUAUUCCGAAGUCGCCCAAACAAGAAAAUGCAAAAUGGCUCCAUAGCGCCCCCUAAGGUGAAAAUUCACACUAUUGACUGUCACGCCUGUACGCUUUGUCAAAAUGACACAAAAAUUGACACACACAUGUAUCUCAAUAAGAUCUACAAAAAAGUCAGUGCGGGCGUAUCUGUCAAAUGUACGGUUAAAGGGUUAUUUCGCAUUUUUUGCCGAUCCGCACACAUUGGAAUUUCGCUAACUCCUCCGAAGGCUUUCGUUCCACCGGCACCACAUUUGCUCAGGCCAAUCUACACCCCAUGGCCAUUAAAAGUUAUUCAAAUCAUGACGCUGCACCCCACGGUUUAGGUUCUAGGGGGCGCCAAAGAUAACCCUAAAAUCCACAUUUUUAAAAGUCUUAUAACUUUUUAUUUUUGCCCUCACUGGCCUCCAAGUUUUCUAGGAUGAUGCAAUGUCCAGCCAUCAACACAUGUGUGAAGGAAUUUUUACUCCCCAAAAGAGCGCCCCCCCAUGGCAGGAGAAAAAAGUCCAUUUUUUCUUGUCCCCUAAGGUGAAAAUACACAUUGUUGACUGUCACGCCUAUACGCUUUGUCAAAAUGACACAAAAAUUGACACACACAUGUAUCUCAAUAAGAUCUUCGAAAAAGUCAAUGCGCGCGUAUCUGUCUAAUGUACGGUUAAAGGGUUAUUCCGCAUUUUUUGCCGAUUCGCACACAUUGGAAUUUCGCUAACUCCUCCGAAGGCUUUCGUUCCACCGGCACCACAUUUGCUCAGGCCAAAUUACACCCCAUGGCCAUUAAAAGUUAUUCAAAUCAUGACGCUGCACCCCACGGUUUACGUUCUAGGGGGCGCCAAAGAUAACCCAAAAAUCCACAUUUUUAAAAGUCUUAUAACUUUUUAUUUUUGUCCUCACUGGCCUCCAAGUUUUCUAGGAUGAUGCAAUGUCCAGCCAUCAACACAUUUGUGAAGGAAUUUUUACUCCCCAAAAGAGCGCCCCCCCAUGGCAGGAAAAAAAAAGCCAAUUUUUUCUUGUCCCCUAAGGUGGAAAUUCACACUAUUGACUGUCACGCCUGUACGCUUUAUCAUAUUGACACAAAAAUUGACACACAUAUGUAUCUCAAUAAGAUCUACAAAAGAGUCGAUUUGCGCGUAUCUGUCAAAUGUACGGUUAAAGGGCUAUUUUGCAUUUUUUGCCGAUUCGCACACAUUGGAAUGUGGCUAACUCCUCCUAAGGCUUUCGUCCCACUGACACCAAAUUUGCUCAGGCCAAUCUACACCCCAUGGCCAUUCAAAGUUGUAAAAAUCAUGACGCUGUACCCCACGGUUUACGUUCUAGGGGGCGCCAAAGAUAACCCAAAAAUCCACAUUCUUCAAAGAAUCCACAUCCCCCCCCCCCCCCCCAUAUGGCAGGAGAAAAAGUUAAGUUUUUCCUGCCCAUCGCUCAAUGGCUCAAUCGCAUCGCUCUCCAGGCAACACCGUAAGGAGGAGCAACCUGCCAUUUCGAUAUAUCAUAGCUGUGUUUGUGCCCUCACUCAUGGUCCAGACUUUUUUCAAAUAGGACAUGAAGUUUGUCUGCAGCGAGUGUUUUGGUAGAAACUGCGCCUCCCAUUCAUUAUAAUAGGAAAUGACCACAGACAAGUGCGCACACCAUCUUUGGAUCUUGAGUGUGACGCGAUCGGGAGGGGGAGGCGGUCGCACUGGGGGCGGCGCGACACGGCUCGGGCCCGACAGUGCCCCAACGGGGUCCUAGUGUUAUUAGGGCCCGAGCGUAGCUGCUAAGCAGCUGCGAGAGCCCUAUUAUUCCCCAAGUGGUUUUUCUUUGUUUCUUUUUUCUUUUUCCUCCCCUUUGAACUGGAAAAUGGCCCACUUCCCACUGGCGAAAACUCAGGAAAUUUGGCAGGACGACCGGGCCUGGUGAAAAAUUUGAUAUUCCGAAGUCGCCCAAACAAGAAAAUGCAAAAUGGCUCCAUAGCGCCCCCUAAGGUGAAAAUUCACACUAUUGACUGUCACGCCUGUACGCUUUGUCAAAAUGACACAAAAAUUGACACACACAUGUAUCUCAAUAAGAUCUACAAAAAAGUCAGUGCGGGCGUAUCUGUCAAAUGUACGGUUAAAGGGUUAUUUCGCAUUUUUUGCCGAUCCGCACACAUUGGAAUUUCGCUAACUCCUCCGAAGGCUUUCGUUCCACCGGCACCACAUUUGCUCAGGCCAAUCUACACCCCAUGGCCAUUAAAAGUUAUUCAAAUCAUGACGCUGCACCCCACGGUUUAGGUUCUAGGGGGCGCCAAAGAUAACCCUAAAAUCCACAUUUUUAAAAGUCUUAUAACUUUUUAUUUUUGCCCUCACUGGCCUCCAAGUUUUCUAGGAUGAUGCAAUGUCCAGCCAUCAACACAUGUGUGAAGGAAUUUUUACUCCCCAAAAGAGCGCCCCCCAUGGCAGGAGAAAAAAGUCCAUUUUUUCUUGUCCCCUAAGGUGAAAAUACACAUUGUUGACUGUCACGCCUAUACGCUUUGUCAAAAUGACACAAAAAUUGACACACACAUGUAUCUCAAUAAGAUCUUCGAAAAAGUCAAUGCGCGCGUAUCUGUCUAAUGUACGGUUAAAGGGUUAUUCCGCAUUUUUUGCCGAUUCGCACACAUUGGAAUUUCGCUAACUCCUCCGAAGGCUUUCGUUCCACCGGCACCACAUUUGCUCAGGCCAAAUUACACCCCAUGGCCAUUAAAAGUUAUUCAAAUCAUGACGCUGCACCCCACGGUUUACGUUCUAGGGGGCGCCAAAGAUAACCCAAAAAUCCACAUUUUUAAAAGUCUUAUAACUUUUUAUUUUUGUCCUCACUGGCCUCCAAGUUUUCUAGGAUGAUGCAAUGUCCAGCCAUCAACACAUUUGUGAAGGAAUUUUUACUCCCUAAAAGAGCGCCCCCCCAUGGCAGGAGAAAAAAGUCCAUUUUUUCUUGUCCCCUAAGGUGAAAAUACACAUUGUUGACUGUCACGCCUGUACGCUUUGGCAAAAUGACACAAAAAUUGACAAUCAUGUGUAUCUCAAUUAGAUCUACGAAAAAGUCAAAGAGCGCGUAUCUGUAUAAUGUACGGUAAAAGGGCUAUUUUGCAUUUUUUGCCGAUUCGCACACAUUGGAAUUUCGCUAACUCCUCCUAAGGCUUUCGUCCCACUGACACCAAAUUUGCUCAGGCCAAUCUACACUCCAUGGCCAUUCAAAGUUGUAAAAAUCAUGACGCUGCACCCCACGGUUUACGUUUUAGGGGGCGCCAAAGAUGACCCAAAUAUACAUUACAGUAGACAAAGUAGUUUUGCCCACUGAGUGGCGCCAAAGGGACUUGUCUGUGGAGUCUGUGAGUCACUAUUGGCCGUUUUUGACUACUUUAGAUUUUACCUUUAUAUUUCCUCUUACAAAAUUUUUACCUUGCCUUGCCUGGUAUCAUUUUUUUCAGCACAACCUCACCUGUGUCAAUUUACAGUUAUUUUAUCAUUUUGACAUACUAUAUUUACACAUUGGACCCAAAUUCACACACAAAACAUAAAAUCCGAGUGGAAAAAAGUAACGUUUUUACUGUGAAAACCACAAAUAUGUGUGAUGAACUGUUUUUAAAACUUAAACUUCAAAUAAAAAUUGUAAACUUCAAAACAUAUGCAAAUUUUUAACAAAGAACAUAGUAAUUUUCCUCUAUUGACAUCAAAAUGCAGGCAAUGGCCCAGGUGUUCUUUGUAAAAUUAUUUACAAAACACUGUAUAGUCUCACAAAUGUCACUUUUUAUUUAUGCCACUACAAAAAAACAUGAUGUAAAUGAUGCAUGAUGUAAAACAUGAUGUAAAAAACUUGUGUAGAUCCUCCUCUAUGUUAGUCCAUGUGUAAUUUUUCCAUAAUUCUUUGUUUUUUGCAGCAUUUUUGUUAGUGUAACUGCAGAUUGUGCUGACAGUGUCUAUGGCAAAAAAAAAAAAAAAAAAACUGAAAAUGCCUCAACAUGAACCCCUGGUGGUCUCUGAGGGUGAAACCUGCUAACUGCUGCAGCUCUGUCAGCUUCAGUCUCCCAUGCAGAGCUCGGAGCGCAUGUGUGGCUCUUCACCCUUAGCAGCGUUGCUAACUCCUCAGUAAGGAAAGCCUGCUUCAUGUCAGAGUCUCUAAACUCCAGAAGAAGUCGAUAAAAGUCACUUUCUUUCUAAAAAAAAAGUCGUUAGGGGGUCUGAAAAGUCAUUGAAUCUAACAACAAAGUCGCUAGGUUUGCAACUACGUGUCCCAGACUGCAUCCCUGCUGAGAGUCCCUCCCUCCCUUCUCAUAUUGCAGGAAGAACGUAAGUUCCCGCCCCUUGUCAAUCAAUCACCAUAUAAUUUUGGAUUGGUUGUUGUGGUGAAGUUUUCCACCAAUAGGAGAGAUGUUGUGGUGUGUUUUUUUUUUUUUUGGCAAGCCUUUUCCGCCUGUAAGACCUGUCGCUAAUGUCUGCAUGCUAUGUUUUCCUGUCUCAUACAGCGCGAUCGAGCGCCGAAUGUGAUCAAAAUAAGCAGAAAACAAGUAUCGCGGACAUAAUUUAUCAUAACUCUGGUUUUAUUUGGCCUAUCAACACAAUUUAAAAACUGGUAUAUAGGUUGAGGUCCUCACUUUUGAGAUAAAUUGAAACGGAGAGUCAACGAGGCUCCGUCUUGCAGCUACAUCCGGUUAAAUAUGUCAUGUGACUUGAACGCACACACACACACACACACACACACACAGACACACACACACACGCACACACACACACUCAGAGUCUGGUUUUUAGCACCUGCAAAAACAUGCUAUUUACAUAUUUGACAAGAAUGCAGAGGCUCCUUUUGCCCCUGAAAAAAAUCAAAUUUCAAACACAACUUGACUGGUCAUUUCUCCAAAAGACAACCAUGAAGCUCCAUCCAAACCUGAAGCAGGCAGUUGGUGCAUGUGUACAGUAACCUGAGGGGAGUGAGGUGACUGCUUCUGAGGAGAACAUGAGCAGUGAAGAUUCACCUUAGAGCUAGAACAGAGACGUGCACAUGAUUAUACAGGGGCAGGGGCUCAAGUUUUUUCCAGUCGUUUAUACAAUAUGGAAAUUAAUGUGAAAUUAAAAAACAAAGUAUUAAUAGAAAGGUAAUGACUGUCCUGUGUAGGUGACAGUAAUAUCCAAUAGGCUAGGCACUCACGAGGCUGGCUGUGGCAAGUGUAAGUGAAAGCAACACGCACUGGCAGGAAGAACAGCAAACGCCGAUGAAGGAAAAGGGUCUUUGCAGUGAUGGGCGUUACCAGAGAGGGCGAUGGCCAGAGGACACAAAUGGGACGGGGAGGCAGCGCGUUGGGGGGGGGGCGCGACACAGCUCGGGCCCGCCAGUGCCCCAACGGGGUCCUAGUUCUUUAGGGCCCGAGCGUAGCUGCUAAGCAGCUGCGAGAGCCCUCUUGUUCCUGAUGGAUUCUUCUUUUGUUAUUAUUAUUAUUAUUAUUUUUCCUCCGCUUUAAACUGGAAAAUGGCCCACUUCCCACUGGCGAAAACUCAGGAAAUUUGGCAGGACGACCGGGCCUGGUGAAAAAUUCGAUAUUCUGAAGUAGCCCAAACAAUAAAAUGCAAAAUGGCUCCAUAGCGCCCCCUAAGGUGAAAAUUCACACUAUUGACUAUCACGCCUGUACGCUUUGUCAUAUUGACACAAAAAUUGAC
rnacentral:lncRNA from 1 species